CCAGACACCUGUGAUGUUGCAGAUAUUUUUUGCAGUGCUUCUCUGUCCCAUUUAUACUCACUUUCCCCAGGAAAUACCUUCAUGUUACAGGAUCUCACACCAGUGUGAAAUAAAACGUCUGGUAGCCAGCAGAAGGGAAGAAAGAAGAACACAGGCCUUUCUACUGUGAUACAUUCCCAUUUCAAACUCAAGUGAGGUUUCACUGAUAGCAGGAGAACACUGUCACUGGAAUCACAGUCUGCAACCACCUUUCUCCUCCAGACUUCCACGUGGAAAAAGUCAGGCAACCCAGACCUGCUUGGGUCGGAGCCACUAAGAAACACCAACCUCCUCAAGUCAUGUUUUAAAAUCUCCUGGAAGAGGGAGAUGGAUGGAGCUGGGAAGAGUGGUGGGGAACCAGAGAAGUGCAGCUUUCCCCUGGUACUGAAGAGUCCCCUGCAGCCUUGUGUCACUUGCUGUGGCACUGCUGCAAAGCCAGCCCAGACCCUUUGAUGAGGAUUGCCUGUGUCCUGUGAACUCAGGUCACCACUGAAGGCUGAGUCUGCCCCGCCAGCACUGCUGUUCCCAAGUGACAGGAGCAGGGAGCUGUGCCGGGCUGCUCUGUUCCAUCUGCUGGAACAAGCAGCAGGUUUGUGCUGAGCUGGAGCUGCUAAUGAAGUGUGACUCGGCUGCUUUUCCUUCUGACCCUACGAGCGCUUUGAGAGCUCCCAGUGAAAAACAAACUUCCUGCCAUUUAUGUACUAAGCCUGGAAACUCAAGAGAAAACUUGCUGUCAGAAGUAAAACUCUUUCAGAGACUUAAUCUACCUUCUCCUGUACUGCUACUUUUAUAUGUAAUAUUUUUAAUAAUAUUGUCACUUCGUAAUUUCCAAGCUUCUGAUUCCACAGGGUCAGAUGCUGUGCUGGGGCAAGGAGCUGACUCUUCAGAAAAUCACUGCUAGCACUGGGCUAACAGCUGGAUGUUAUCAAAAGUCUAAUAAGCAGAUCAUCAUCCCCUUCCUUCACACUCUGAAAUACUUAGAGGAUUAAGAACUAACAGCUUUUUCCCCCCUUGCCAAGACAUUUAUUUCCCUAUAGCAGGUGUUCUUUUGUUCAUGUAAUGCUUUAUUUUAUAUACAGGCAGCAACAUAGGUAUUACUACUGUAGAAAUAGCCCAAUGCUAACUGAUUUUCUGAAGAGUUGUACAAAUGUGCUCAACUCAAAAAGAAUGGCAGCUCUGCAUCCCCUUGUAUUCUUUCCUUUGGCUGCAUCUUUGGGACAGGCACACCGUGCCAUAUGGUAAUGUUAAAUCCUGGAAAAUGCCUCGGGUAAGCUUCUAGAAAAUGACUGGAGUAUUAUUUGAAGGGAAGCCCUCCUGUAUGACUUUGUUCAAACACACUGCAGACAAGCUUGGCUUUUACCAGUGAAAAAUGACUUGCCUGUAUUACUUGUAUUAAGAAUUUAUGUAAAUGAGUACUAAACCAAGGAUGCUUAUAAACUGAAACUGAUUUUUGCAAAAUAGAAAAAAACAAGCUGGGUAAUGUUUUGGAGAGGGACAGGCUAACUUGGCUAACAUCAUCAGAGCAACACUGGCAAUAAAAGUUAAAUCUUUGUAAAUUAACCAUUAGUAGAUGCAGGAUUAGGCCCCAAAGGCAGAAACAAAAGCCACAGAAUUUGGAAAUUCAGAAACAUGGAUGACUUCUUGAAUACACAUAAAGAAAGUUUGCUAAACUCACGUAGAAGUGUGUUUGCAAAUUAGUUAUGAUUGUUAUUGUAGCCUCAAGACAUCAGAAAAUAAAAAUAGAGCUUAUAUAUACAGCUGGUUAAUGAAUAUCAUCUGUGCUCUGCAGCACCAUGAAUGGAAUCACAAAUUAGCACUACCUGUAAAAGUGCUGCUGACUUCAGCAGGAUCAGAUUUUUCAAGGUUUGCUCUGAGCUUUAUGAUCAGACCCCCACAAAAGUUUAGGCAGACAUUUAAAAUUAAUCCUUUUUAUAAUGGCUCUUGUCCAUGAGCAACUUUUCUGUGCAUCUGUGGAGCUGUGCUUGCCCUACUAAUGAUUCACCAUGAUUGUGGCUUCUGUAAAUGUUAACAAGGGCAGCAUCCUGUGCUGUCAGCAGGGUCUGCAGGCCCACCCAUUCCAUUAAUUGUUGUCAAGCAGCUCUGACCCACAGCAGUAGCCAGGUGGCCGAUGCCAGGACCUCCUUGUACAAGCAGGCUCCCUGGAUUUCAUUGACUGUCCAUGUAAUACUGCUAAAUGGACAAGCAACCCCUGGAUAGAUGUCACAAGCUUGCACACAGUCAGCUAGAUGAUUUCAUGGAAGGAUGAUUUCAGGGCAGAACUCCUGCUGUAGCUCUGUUUUUUAAAAAAGCUGGGUAAUUUGUAGCCCAGCUUCCUGAACUGCUGAGCAAAUCCAGCGUGCUCAACUGACUUCAGGGAACUCUGCUGUCUCUUUAUAACUCUGCAGAGCAAAGAGUGAUUCACGUGAUUCAACUCUGUGC